rnacentral:rRNA from 1 species
GAUGAACGCUAGCGGCAGGCUUAAUACAUGCAAGUCGAGGGGGCAGCAAUGUCACCGGCGAACGGGUGCGUAACGCGUAUGCAACCUACCUACAUCAGGGGGAUAGCCCUAGGAAACUGGGAUUAACACCGCAUAAUAUUAUUAAUGGCAUCAUUGGUAAUUGAAAUAUUUAUAGGAUGUAGAUGGGCAUGCGUAGGAUUAGCUAGUUGGUAAGGUAACGGCUUACCAAGGCUACGAUCCUUAGGGGCUCUGAGAGGAGUAUCCCCCACACUGGCACUGAGAUACGGGCCAGACUCCUACGGGAGGCAGCAGUAGGGAAUAUUGGGCAAUGGAGGCAACUCUGACCCAGCCAUGCCGCGUGCAGGAAGACGGUCCUCUGGAUUGUAAACUGCUUUUGAAUGGGAAGAAUGUGCUUCUUGCGAGAGGUAAUGACGGUACCAUUAGAAUAAGCCACGGCUAACUACGUGCCAGCAGCCGCGGUAAUACGUAGGUGGCGAGCGUUAUCCGGAUUUAUUGGGUUUAAAGGGUGCGUAGGCGGCUUAAUAAGUCGGUGGUUAAAAGUAGCAGCUUAACUGUUUUACAUGCCAUCGAUACUGUUGAGCUUGAGAUAUUUGGAGGCAGCUAGAAUUUCCGGUGUAGCGGUG